rnacentral:lncRNA from 1 species
GACAAAUCAAAAUAGUAGAAACAAACAUGGAAAAAGUAGUUAACAGGCGAUUGGAGCGUUAAUUCUUAUGAUGAUCGUUCGGGUUGUUACAGUCAAAAAAUCUCGUGUGCUCCUCUUCCUUUAGCUGAGACCAGCCUCUAAACCCACCAUGAAAACCAGUGAGAAACCUCUAUUAAAAUGCUCCAAACUGUCAUGAAAAAACAACUGCUUCUUCUUUCCAAAAUACACCAUCUUUAGCUCCAAAACCAGCUCAAGAACGUCCCUUUCUCAGCCUAAAAACGCAACUAAAAUAGCUGCGAAAACAACCGAGAAAAGUAGUGAAAAUCAGCUGCAAAACAGGUCCAAAAUGCUGCCCUUUUUCCAGCCGAAAAUCACCUUUAAAUCAGCCCCAAAUCACUGCAAAACCCCCCAGCAAAUCACUUUAUUUUCAGCCCAAAAUCGCUGCAAAACCCUCAGCAGUUCACCUCCCAAAUCAUCCUUCAAAACCAUCCUUAAACAAACUGUAAAUCAUCUGUUUUAGUUGUGUAAAUAACAGCGACAGGAGCUCACAAAAUCAGCCCCAAAGCAGCCCUCAAAUGCAUCCAAACAUCAUCAUUUUCACCCUGAAAAUCUUGCUAGUUGCAGCUGGAAAUCACCUUGCUAAGCAGCUUUCAAAAUCAGUUUCGAAACUAUCUUUAAAGUGAGGUGAUGUUCGAGUUCGCCGGUUCAAGGUUCCGGCGAUGUCACCUGUAGAAGUCUCUGAUUUUAGUUCAGAUCUUUAGCAAAAGUAUUAAAUCGGAUCUCUUCAUUGUGCGUGGAUUUGAGAGCUCUCAUUUUAAAUAAAAAUUGCGGCUGAUUGAGGUCUGUUCUUGCCUAUUUCGAUUUAUAUUUUUGGUCGAUCUAUUUAUUAUAUUUGUUUAUGAAUCACUGUUUAUGUGUUUGCUUAUGG